UCACAGUCUGCAUCUCUACUAAACUCCAGCUCCUGGUGACCUUGAAUCUACUUUCUGCUGCUGAGAAUUUACCUAUUUUGGAUGCUUCAUGAGACGAUUCCUCUUAGCAAAAGGGCACUGUGUACCCUCCAAGGCUGGAAAUGAUAGGUUUUCGGCGAGGAGUGAAAAUAUUGUGCUGACAGCCCUUUGCCUGUGUAGAGCAGGGUUGUUUACUCGCGCUGGAGCACAGCUUUAUUGAAGCAGAGAGUCAUGGUCCCAUCAUCAGGGUUGCCUAGCAACCAGUCUACGCCACUCCACAGAGUUUCAGAAUGGGCUGGACCACAAGUACCCACUUUGGGGGAUUUCCAGUGACAGUCCUACUCUCACUCCAUCACAUCGCUUCUAAAAUCUGAGUCACAUGGUUCAAAUUUCACAGUACAAAGUGUGUUCUUCAGAUCUGGGGUUCUCUCCAAAAUGGAUAAUCAUUAUUGAUUUUGUAAUGCAAUGCCAAGACCAUCAGUAAGGUUAUGUGAAGUUGGCAGUUCCCAAGGGCUUUAGGCUUGAAGCUGUGGGUCAUACCCCUUCGGAAACUUGGUCCCCAAGAGAAAUGUAUGCUUCUGAAAACCACAGGUGCAUGAAUCGUGUUUAGUAAAUGACUACUAAACUGAAAUCAGGACUUGUCUAUAUCUUGGCUUCUCAAACUUGAAUAUGCUUAUCAUCUGGAUAGCAAAAGCAUUCCUACACGUUGAGGCCUGCCAGCGUGGGUGUCACCCAGGAGCCACUCGGAAAGGCUCAUCGGAAACCACCCCGGACUGACUGAGGCAGAAUCUCUGGGGGCAGGACCCAGGCCUCAGCAUAAAAACUCCAGGUGACGGAAGAGCUCCCACCUAACAGAAAGAAAAUAAAAGAGACUGAGAAACCACAGAAAUAAAGAAGCGCUGAUGACAAUGCCUGCUUGCUGAUGGUUACGAUGAUCAUAGCAGUGUGCAUUUUGUAUGCAUGAAGCCUGCGACUAAAUAAACGUGUGGGGAAAUAUUUGUAAGGAAAUAAGCUAUUAAUAAAAUAAGCUAAAAUCACAGUUGCUGGACUAUGACUGAUUUUUCCCCUUUCUCUCAUUUAAAAUUAAAUAUUUGUAUGACUUGUAUAAUAGAAAAAUACAUGUAUUCAAUCUUAAAAAGAUAUUCUUAUUUUACACUUUACGGGACAAAAGAGGUUGUAGGUUGGAAUGGUUCAGUCCCCUUGUGACAACUCAAAAACAGAGACCUUAAGCCUUUCUCAACCAAUGUUGCGGGACAAGCAGGCGUGUGAGGCGACAAUGCCAUUAGGGUAUUUUUUGGAAAAAUUUUAGUGUGAGAGACAAAAGCCAAAUUCAAACUGGCCUGAGCCAAAAUAGGUAGGAAAGGGAGAAGCGGAGACAGGGAGGAAGAAAGAGAGAGAACAGAAAGAAAAAGGGAGAAAUGUCGAAAGGCAAAAUUACAACACAUUUAGUUAAAUGAUUGAAUUGGUUUUUAUUUGUAAUUCAUGAAUUGGGGCAGCAUCUCCUCUAAAACUUUAGGAAAAGUGCUCUGAUGAGCUAAACAGAGAAGCUUGGCUUUAUAGGCAGAAAAGGGUGAAGAAAGCAGACACAGGGAACAAAAAGCAGAUUGGUAAGCUCAGGUUACUUCAGGUUACUUUCCUUAUAAAGGUUAAAGUAGAGGGGACUUCCUUAUCAUGCUGGCUACAACUGGCCUGUUUGGGGAUUUGCAUAUUAUCUCUCUCUGUCUUGAGUUCUGGGAAGGUCUGAUGACUUAGUUUCAGUUUGGUGAUAUGGAACUUAGCAUGAGUGACUCCAUCUUGGUUUGGUCUACUGGGGCCUCCUGCAGGAGCUCAGCCCAAAUCAGUGACCUCCUAUAAAUUUCAUUUAAUAGAAAAGGAAGGAAGGAAGGAAGGAAGGAAGGAAGGAAGGAAGGAAGGAAGGAAGGGAGGGAGGGAGGGAGGGAGGGAGGGAGGAAGGGAGGAAAGAAGGAAGGAAAGAAAGAAAGUUGCUUAUAAGUUGCUUAUAACUAAAAAGACCAGCUGGACCCAGGAGCUCUGAGGUUGCUUUCAGGCCUCUGUCCAUCUCUUAGUUUUCCAUCCUCAGACAGGCUCUGCCCUGCCUUACAGUCUAGCAUUGUUGGCCAAAGGUGACUGACUGGCCCAGCUUGGGCUAUAUGUCCUUCCCUGUGGCCAGAGAGAUGUGUCUCUGUGAUGGCCAGGCUUGGGUCACGUACUCCCUCCCCUACCAGAAUCACAUGAAAAGAGGGAGGAAGAGCCGCUUUCCACCAAAGGAAACUGAAGUGCUAUUGUCAGAGGGGUUGCUGGGCAGACCAAAAAGAUGACAAUAUCUGCUCCAAUCGCUCGGGUUGUUGGUGCUUGGCAGAUUUGCCCCUACGUCACUUUUCAGAUGUGGAUAAGACUGAAGGUGACCACAGGCUUCCGAGAGGAAAGCUGCCAAUGGGGGUGUGAGAGGAGGGGGAAUUCUUACUCACCAAGGUUAACACUGUGCACACUGUUCUCCGAGGAAGUGGGAAUUUCCACAUGGUGAGUUCCCUUCCCUGUACAAUGAAUUACUAUCUUGAUGAGAAACCCGUGGGCAGCUGGUUGAGAAGAGAAAGGUAUUCUCUGAAUGAGAGGGAAUUUACCACCUUCCUUUCAAUGGUGACAGUUUUUUCUGGUGUCACCGCAGGGUGUGGAUUGAUUCAUAUACAAAUAUACAUAUCUACAUAGAUGCCAUUCUGCUAGCCUCUGCAAAAUGCAUGCCUGGAGACCAUUUCUGCUGCCUAGGAGAUGUCAACUUUGUCACCACCACUCUCUCUCCACCACUCCCACACCCUGCAGGGGCCAGGUGUGUGGGUGGGGAGCUCCCCAGCUGGAGGCCAGAUUAGAGGUCUCUGUGUGGUGGGGAUGGGGAGGAUGGGGUGGGAAUGAGGUGGUAGGCCACUGGCAGUGGUCCAAGUUCCAUCCAGGAUCUGUCCUAGGCCUCUCCCCAGGCUGUCGCUUCCACCAUUGAAUUUCUAACCUGGAUCUCUAAGGUUAUGAAUAUCUCAUUCCCGCAUCCUGGGGUGCUCAGACAUGUCUCCCCUGAGUCUCUAGCUGGGCUCGUGGCUGUGAUCAUUGUCCUCAGAGUUCCAUCCUCCCAACAAAGGGACAGAAGAAACACAGGGCCCACUUUUCUGGAUUCUGAGUUGGAGCCAAGAAAUUCUAUCUGCUGCUUCCUUCCUGUUGAAUUAUCCCCCAAGGACCCCUUAGUCCCUCCAGUCUCCUCCAGAGGCCUAUAGCUGCCCCAGCUCCCCAUGAUGGAUACCUGGCUCUUUCCUACCCAGAGGAAAACGCAGGCCCUUCCCCAGCCCUGCACUGAACUCCUGUGAGUGGCUGAGGAGAUGAGGAGGUGUGAAGAGUGAGUGUGUUGGGGAGGGAGGGGUCCCCUGCCACCAGGUACCAAGGACUUCUGCCAGAUCACCAGAACUGACACCUGGUUCCACCGGCCAGCUGUGAAGUGUCGGCCCUGACAUCAACAGCUGACCUCCCACAGGGCCUAAGGAAACGGAAUUGUGG
rnacentral:lncRNA from 1 species